rnacentral:rRNA from 1 species
GACGAACGCUGGCGGCGUGCUUAACACAUGCAAGUCGAACGGAAAGGCCCUGCUUUUGUGGGGUGCUCGAGUGGCGAACGGGUGAGUAACACGUGAGUAACCUGCCCCUGACUUUGGGAUAACUUCAGGAAACUGGGGCUAAUACCGGAUAGGAGCUCCUGCUGCAUGGUGGGGGUUGGAAAGUUUCGGCGGUUGGGGAUGGACUCGCGGCUUAUCAGCUUGUUGGUGGGGUAGUGGCUUACCAAGGCUUUGACGGGUAGCCGGCCUGAGAGGGUGACCGGCCACAUUGGGGCUGAGAUACGGCCCAGACUCCUACGGGAGGCAGCAGUGGGGAAUAUUGCACAAUGGGCGGAAGCCUGAUGCAGCAACGCCGCGUGCGGGAUGACGGCCUUCGGGUUGUAAACCGCUUUCGCCUGUGACGAAGCGUGAGUGACGGUAAUGGGUAAAGAAGCACCGGCUAACUACGU